rnacentral:rRNA from 1 species
UACGUAGGGUGCAAGCGUUGUCCGGAAUUAUUGGGCGUAAAGCGUGCGCAGGCGGUUCGUUAAGUUCGAUGUGAAAGCCCCGGGCUCAACCUGGGAAUUGCAUUGGAAACUGGCGGGCUUGAGUGUGGCAGAGGGGGGUGGAAUUCCACGUGUAGCAGUGAAAUGCGUAGAGAUGUGGAGGAACACCGAUGGCGAAGGCAGCCCCCUGGGCUAACACUGACGCUCAGGCACGAAAGCGUGGGGAGCAAACAGG